ensembl:rRNA 5S_rRNA 5S ribosomal RNA
AUCUACAGCCAUUGCCACCCUGAACAAGCCCGAUCCUGGCUGAUCUCGAAAGCUAAGCAGGGUCGGAGUUGGUUAGUACUUGGAUGGAAGACCACCUAGGAAGACUAGGUGCUGUAGGCA